AAUAUCUUUUUGUAGUUUUUACUAUUUUCAAAAAAAGUAAAAACAAUUUUGUUUGUUUACAAUUAUCAGCAACACAAAUAAAUUUUUGUUUACGUUUAUAAAUAAAAAACAUAAAUUAAAUAAAAAAUUAAAAAUUAAACAGUUAACAAAUAUCACCUAAGUAUAAGACAAAUAUCAUUUGAUCAUGCGACUAUGAAUGUCCAAUUAAUUUAAUUUUUUGCAUAGAGUGUGCUCAUUGAAUUUAUAAAAUGAAAAGUUCCGAUUAUGAAGAUGGAUUAAUAAUAAAUCUAUAAAAAUGGUACUAGAUGGUUUCAAUAUUUCUAUAGCUGCUUUUUUCAUACAAUAUAAGAUUAUUAAGUUGGGAUGGUACUUGUUCAAGUUUAAUUUAAAAAAUAAUAAAAGAGCUUCAAAAAUAUUUUUAAGCUUAGUUUGAUUAUUAUUUAAGUUAAUUUUAUGUAAACUUUUAUCGAGCUCAUAUCACGUAACUUGAUUUUCAUAUAGUAUAAGUAUGUCGAAUCUAGUCAGUACUUAUUUAAUCAUGGCUUAAAAAUUUAAUGAGUCCCAGAAUUUGUUCAAAUUUAAAUUGUUUAAAUAAUAAGCUCAUUUUAAACCAACUUUUUAAUGAACCAAAUAUAGGUCGAAUAACUUAGUUUGUUUAAACGUUACUCUAAUCCUCCCAAACUUACAAAUCCCACUUUACAAUGUUUUAGCUUCUUCCGUCCCAUUUCGUUUUGAUACUUAAAAACUCAAAUAUUAAAAAAUUGUAAAAAUCUAUUUUUGCUCUCUAAGAUUCGAAUCAUUGUGACAAUUUUUUUGUUUAUAUUUUAGGCAAUUUUAUUUGUCAAAAAAAGUAAAAAGUUUUGAAGGUGUAUUGUCUUGGGAAAUCUUGAGAUAAGUGGUACAAUCAAAAGUUUAAUAGUAAUCCUAUGGUCUAACCGAAAAUAAUAUCAAAUAAUAUCACUGAAAGUUAUAAGUUGUAAAUAAUAUCAAAUAUAUAAUGAAUUGGAUAAUUUUACCCUUAACCACUUAAACAAACAUCGUUUAAAAAAUAUGUAUAAAAAUUGGACAUGGAAGGAUUUACACCCUACAUCUUCAUUCAUUCGUGCCGUAGCCAACUCUAGACAUUCCUCUCUCUUUCUCAAGCUCAUGUGCAAUUAACUCUACAAUCGCCAUCGACUUCGCCACAAACACCUAUAUGGUCCUCAUCUUCGACUUCCACCCAAUCUCUCUCUUCACAUAUGUAAUGAUUUACAUGCUUAAUAGUAGUAAAAUUUUAGGACAUAACAUAAUUAGUCCAACAAAACUAAUUUAAUGGUUACGGGAGUACAAGUCUAGCAUGUUUAAGGUGUAACUCGAAUAUGCUUGCAGUGUAAGUUGAAUAUACAACUUAGCUCUAUGGACCUAUUAAUUAAACUCAACUGAAUGAAAUUGAAGCAACAACACAUGCUUGCUGACAAAUCUGACAUGCUCAAGAUACAAGUCAUGUGUAUGCAAGUUGGAUAUUCAUAAACCCAAUUCAACUCCAUAUGGACCUACUAAUUAAAUUCAUUGAACAAAAGUGUUCAACUGGUUAAAAUUGGAGCACAACACAUGCUUGCUUAGGUGCAAGUUGUGUGUGUUAUAAGUGCAAGUUGGAUAUACUAUGGUAGAAGUCGGACAUGCCAAAGACAAGGCCAAAUAUAGGGCAAACUAUAGAGUCGACCGCGCACGAAAGAGAGAGGGAAAGCGCGAAUAAAUGAAGAAAAUGUAAUAUGCAAAUUCUUAUUUGCUCAAUUUUUAUACAAAUUUUCAAAUCGACGUUGUUUAAAUAAUCUAGAAUAAAAUCAUAAAUAUAUAUUUAAUAUUAUUUAUAACUCACUACCCAAGUGAUUAUUUGCAGUCAUAACCACAUAAUCAUUUCCAGUCAUGACAACUGAAUUGAUAUUAUCACUUGGUCUGGUUCUAAAUUUUUUCCCCAUAUUUUGAUUCUUUAAAAAGUUAAAUUAUCUAAAAUAAACAAACAAAUUAGUUCCAAAGAGUAUUAAUAAAAUAGAGAAAUAAUUUAAUUUAAAACAACCUAAAUUUCAUUACAAAAUGGCCAAAAUAUAGUUUGGCUGGGUAGUUGGCACUUGGCAGCAUUGAUCUCCAAACACUUCCAACCCAAAAUGAUCCCUCAAAAGAAGAUCAAAAACAAAAAAAAAAAAAAAAAGUAAGAUUAACCCAAAAUUUUACAUUUCUUAAAAUUACUAUGAAAAGAGGGUGAGGCUCAGAUCCGUUAAAGACCAGGCCACAAUCCGAUUCCGCCAUGGCUGCAACAACAGUUGCCUGAUGAGAGAGAGAAAACCACUCUCCCUCACAGUCCAUCUGGGUUGCCCCGCCAAGAAACGGAUCGGAUUCCCGAUGCCCGGCUCGUGCGCUCAGAAUAAAGCUCAUCGUCACAGCCUCGAUUUUAUUUUAUUUUUUUUGGGAAAUGGUCAACAACGAGGACCUGUUUGGCUGUAUUUGUCAAGAAACCUCAAGGAGAUCAGUGAAAUUUACCGAAGCUGUUUUACCAGCAACAGCAAUAACAGCGCGACGGACGAAAAGAAUGCGGCGGUGGAACGAGUCCACUCGCCGCCGCCGCCGCCACCACACACACAAUCACAGAGAGAGAGAGAGAGAGAGAGGCUAGAUGUGGAUGCUCUUGAGAGCUGUUGAUUCUGUUGAGGAGAAAUCAUUGGCAGCGAUGAUCUGUGGAGAGAUCAUCGUUUUGUGGUGGAGAGGGGCAACCAGCCUCAGAAGCAACCCGUCUCUCCGCCGGAGCCUCAUUCUUGAACCUAGCCCUAGUUUCUGCUUCUUGCCCCGCAUUUAUAGUGUCUCUAAC
rnacentral:lncRNA from 1 species